rnacentral:misc_RNA from 1 species
GUUCCGUAGGUGAACCUGCGGAAGGAUCAUUAUUGUAUAACCGAGGUGCGAGGGCUGUCGCUGACCCGAAAGGUCGUGCACGCCCGAGUGCCCUCACACACAUCCACCUCACCCCUAUGUGCACCACCGCGUGGGUCCCCCUUUGGCUUGUUCGGAGGGGGGCUUACGUUUUCACACAAACUUUGUAUGCAGUGUAGAAUGUAUUUUUUGUUUUUGCGAUCACGCAAUCAAUACAACUUUCAACAACGGAUCUCUUGGCUCUC